UACGUAGGGGGCAAGCGUUGUCCGGAUUUAUUGGGCGUAAAGCGCGUGUAGGUGGCCAAGUAGGUCCGCUGUGAAAACUUGAGGCUCAACCUCAAGCUGUCGGUGGAAACCCCUUGGCUAGAGUCCGGAAGAGGAGAGUGGGAUUCCUGGUGUAGCGGUGAAAUGCGCAGAUAUCAGGAAGAACACCAAUGGCGAAGGCAGCUCUCUGGGACGGUACUGACACUGAGACGCGGAAAAGCGUGGGGGAGCCGAACAGG
rnacentral:rRNA from 1 species